AACGAACGCUGGCGGCAUGCCUAACACAUGCAAGUCGAACACGUGUAGCAAUACACGAGUGGCGGACGGGUGAGUAACGCGUGGGAACCUGCCCAAUGGCAGGGAAUAACUGCGGGAAACUGCAGCUAAUACCCUAUGCUCCCUACGGGGAAAAGAUUUAUCGCCAUUGGAGGGGCCCGCGUCGGAUUAGCUAGUUGGCGGGGUAAUGGCCCACCAAGGCUACGAUCCGUAGCUGGUCUGAGAGGAUGAUCAGCCACACUGGGACUGAGAUACGGCCCAGACUCCUACGGGAGGCAGCAGUGGGGAAUAUUGGACAAUGGGGGAAACCCUGAUCCAGCAAUGCCGCGUGAGUGAAGAAGGCCUUAGGGUUGUAAAGCUCUUUCGGCGGGGACGAUGGUGACGGUACCCGCAGAAGAAGCCCCGGCUAACUUCGUGCCAGCCGCCGCUGUAAAAC
rnacentral:rRNA from 1 species